CACCAAUCUCAAGGCCAAACAUACGACCGGGUUGUCGUGGACUUGGGGCGUACAGAGUUCACGAUCGGUCUCUCCUACGUUGCUCUCUCUCGCUGCAAGACGUUGGAUGGAUUGGCAAUCAAUCCACCAUUUAUCAGAAAGCGACUGGAUGAUUUGCAUCAUAAGAAUUCUUUGAAGGCCUUUGGCGCGCACAGCUGGAGGACUCUAUAAGUGCCAACUUGACGAAAUAUCCAGCAGUGCGAAAUGGAGUUAUUGUUCCUUGGGAGGAAAGGUUGAAUUGCUUCCUGGAAAAUCUUUCUGUGGACGAGUGGGGUGGCACCGAAACCAUUGUGACCAUCGCUCAAUUGCACAAUAUAACACUUACAACAUAUUUCGAAGACGGUGGUGAUGGUUUUCGGUGUCAAAGGAUCAUCUCAGGGGGGGAGAGUGAUAGGGAAAUUGCUAUAGUGUACCGGCUCGCAGCUGUUAGGGGAUGUGCUGGCCCUGUGAGUC